UGGUCUCCGGGACACCCCUCCGGACCGGUUUCACCUAGCAGUGCGGGUAGGUCCAGGUGCAGCGGCCGCAGUGCUGCCUCCCGGCGACGCGGGCUGUGGCGGUCUCAGGUGUGCCGAAGCUCAGGUCUGUGCCAUGAUCCGGCAGGAGCGCUCCACAUCCUACCAGGAGCUGAGUGAGGAGUUGGACCAGGUGGUUGAGAACUCAGAGCUGGCAGACGAGCAGGACAAGGAGACGGUCAAAGUCCAAGGUCCGGGUGUCUUACCAGGCCUGGACAGCGAGCCUGCCUCCAGCAGCAUCCGCUUCAGCAAGGCCUGCCUGAAGAACGUCUUCUCGGUCCUGCUCAUCUUCAUCUACCUGCUGCUCAUGGCUGUGGCUGUCUUCCUGGUCUACCAGACCAUCACAGACUUUCGUGAGAAACUCAAGCACCCUGUCAUGUCUGUGUCUUACAAGGAAGUGGAUCGCUAUGAUGCCCCAGGUAUUGCCCUGUACCCCGGUCAGGCCCAGUUGCUCAGCUGUAAGCACCAUUAUGAGGUCAUUCCUCCUCUGACAAGCCCUGGCCAGCCGGGUGACAUGAAUUGCACCACCCAGAGGAUCAACUACACGGACCCCUUCUCCAAUCAGACUGUGAAAUCUGCCCUGAUUGUCCAGGGGCCCCGGGAAGUGAAAAAGCGGGAGCUGGUCUUCCUCCAGUUCCGCCUGAACAAGAGUAGUGAGGACUUCAGCGCCAUUGAUUAUCUCCUCUUCUCUUCUUUCCAGGAGUUCCUGCAAAGCCCAAACAGGGUAGGCUUCAUGCAGGCCUGUGAGAGUGCCUAUUCCAGCUGGAAGUUCUCUGGGGGCUUCCGCACCUGGGUCAAGAUGUCACUGGUGAAGACCAAGGAGGAGGAUGGGCUGGAAGCAGUGGAGUUCCGGCAGGAGACAAGUGUGGUUAACUACAUUGACGAGAGACCAGCUGCUGAAAAAAGUGCUCAGUUGUUUUUUGUGGUCUUUGAAUGGAAAGAUCCUUUCAUCCAGAAAGUCCAAGAUAUAAUCACUGCCAAUCCUUGGAACACAAUUGCUCUUCUCUGUGGCGCCUUCUUGGCAUUAUUUAAAGCAGCAGAGUUUGCCAAACUGAGUAUAAAAUGGAUGAUCAAAAUUAGAAAGAGAUACCUUAAAAGAAGAGGUCAGGCAACGAGCCACAUAAGCUGAAGUCACCUCGCGUUGUUUAUAGAACUGUCCACAUCAGUGGGAGUUGUCAUCACUUCCACUUUGUAAACUGAGCUAUCAACAAUCCUGUACUCACUUGAAGAAAUGGGGCCUUGCUGAGGGGAACAGCAUGUCAAACUGGAACUUCUAACCUCGCCCCGAAAGAGGCCGUGUAGAGCCUAAUAGAAGAGAGCUAAUGGAUAACCUACAUGUUAUUUAAAUAUUUAAAUUAUUAAUAAACUUUCUAAAGAGCUGGCCAAUGACUUUUGAAUAGGGUUUGUAGAAGAUGCCUUUCUUCCUGUUUGGUUCAUUGUAUUGUAUUAGGUUAAGCUCUACUAGGGUAAUGAAGGCUCUACUUUUCACUUUUUAAAAGUAGACAAAAGAGUGUGAUUUUCUUUUUCCAAAAAUCCUGACUAUCAAGACGUGCAGGUCAUGCUUCGGAGCCUAUGCACUGUACACAGAGGCAAAACCCUAUGACUUUGGCGUCAUCUGCCAUUGAUGUCCAGCCUCUGACAUGGUCUUUGAUUUGUUAAACGUUAAAUGAGACUUUAAAGCUACUAGAAACUAGUAAUUAAGUUUCUUAAUGGGCUGACUAGCCACCUACUCAUCUGGCUAGAAUGUUUGUUGAUGUAUGAGUUUAGAUUAACACUCAAAAGCACUAAGGACAGAUGUACAUACUAGGUGCCUACUCAGUGUAUUUUGAUGAUUUCAUUAACAGGUAAAUAAAAGGUUAAUACAAAAGGAAAAAA